GACAGAGGGUGCAAACGUUGUACGGAAUUACUGGGCGUAAAGCGCGUGUAGGCGGCCCUGCAAGUCGGAUGUGAAAUCCCACGGCUCAACCGUGGAAGUGCAUUCGAAACUGCAGGGCUAGAGUCCUGGAGAGGAAGGUGGAAUGCUUGGUGUAGAGGUGAAAUUCGUAGAUAUCAAGCGGAACACCGGUGGCGAAGGCGGCCUUCUGGACAGUGACUGACGCUGAGGAGCGAAAGCGUGGGGAGCGAACAGG
rnacentral:rRNA from 1 species